UUGAUCCUGGCUCAGAACGAACGCUGGCGGCGUGCCUCAUACAUGCAAGUCGAGCGAGAAAGGUCCCUUCGGGGACUGAUUAAAGCGGCAAACGGGUGAGUAACACGUGGGAAACCUACCCUUGGGUUGGGGACAAGCCCGCGAAAGCGGGUCUAAUACCGAAUGAUGUCAUUUGGCCGCAUGACCGGAUGACCAAAGCAGCAAUGCGCCUGAGGACGGUCCCGCGCCCCAUUAGCUUGUUGGUAGGGUAACGGCCUACCAAGGCUGCGAUGGGUAGCCGGCCUGAGAGGGUGACCGGCCACACUGGGACUGAGAUACGGCCCAGACUCCUACGGGAGGCAGCAGUAGGGAAUAUUGCGCGAUGGCCUAACGGCUGACGCAGCAACGCCGCGUGGAUGAUGAAGCUUUUCGGAGCGUAAAAUCCUUUCAGUAGGGAAGAACGGGUCUUCGGACCCAUGACGGUACCUGCAGAAGAAGCACCGGCUAACUCCGUGCCAGCAGCCGCGGUAAUACGGGGGGUGCAAGCGUUGUUCGGAUUUACUGGGCGUAAAGCGCACGCAGGCGGGCUGUCAAGUCGGAUGUGAAACCCGGGGGCUUAACCCCCGGCCUGCAUUCGAAACUGAUAGUCUUGAGUACCGGAGAGGAUGGCGGAAUUCCUGGUGUAGCGGUGAAAUGCGUAGAUAUCAGGAAGAACACCGGUGGCGAAGGCGGCCAUCUGGACGGAUACUGACGCUCAGGUGCGAAGGCUAGGGGAGCAAACAGGAUUAGAUACCCUGGUAGUCCUAGCGGUAAACGAUGGGCACUAGGUGUUGGUGGUAUCGACUCCACCAGUGCCGCAGCUAACGCAUUAAGUGCCCCGCCUGGGGAGUACGACCGCAAGGUUGAAACUCAAAGGAAUUGACGGGGGCCCGCACAAGCGGUGGAGUAUGUGGUUUAAUUCGACGCAACGCGAAGAACCUUACCUGGGUUUGACAUGCACUGGAAAGCUACAGAGAUGUAGCCCCCUUUUCGGAGGCCUGUGCACAGGUGCUGCAUGGCUGUCGUCAGCUCGUGCCGUGAGGUGUUGGUUAAGUCCCGCAACGAGCGCAACCCCUGUCCUUAGUUGCCGUCAGGUUAUGCUGGGCACUCUAAGGAGACUGCCGGUGACAAGCCGGAGGAAGGUGGGGAUGACGUCAAGUCCUCAUGGCCCUUACGUCCAGGGCUACACACGUACUACAAUGGUCGAUACAGAGGGCUGCAAUGCCGCGAGGUGGAGCUAAUCCCUAAAGUCGGCCUCAGUUCAGAUUGGAGUCUGCAACUCGACUCCAUGAAGGUGGAAUCGCUAGUAAUCGCAGAUCAGCACGCUGCGGUGAAUACGUUCCCGGGCCUUGUACACACCGCCCGUCAAGCCAUGGGAGUUGGGAGUACCCGAAGUCGCCGAUUUAACGCAAAGUGACGGUGCCGAAGGUAAAACCAACGACUGGGGCUAAGUCGGAACAAGGUA
rnacentral:rRNA from 1 species